GACGAACGCUGGCGGCGUGCUUAACACAUGCAAGUCGAGCGGUAAGGCCCUUUCGGGGGUACGACGAGCGGCGAACGGGUGAGUAACACGUGGGUGACCUGCCCUCAGCUCUGGGAGUAAGCCUGGGAAACCGGGUCUAAUACCGGAUAUGACUCCAUGACGCAUGUUGUGGGGUGGAAAGCCUUGUGCGGCUGAGGAUGGGCCCGCGGCCUAUCAGCUUGUUGGUGGGGUGAUGGCCUACCAAGGCGACGACGGGUAGCCGGCCUGAGAGGGCGACCGGCCACACUGGGACUGAGACACGGCCCAGACUCCUACGGGAGGCAGCAGUGGGGAAUCUUGCGCAAUGGGCGAAAGCCUGACGCAGCGACGCCGCGUGAGGGAUGACGGCCU
rnacentral:rRNA from 1 species